UGAGGAAUAUUGCGCAAUGGGCGAAAGCCUGACGCAGCGACACCGCGUGAAGGAUGAAGGUCUUAGGAUUGUAAACUUCUGUUAAGUGAGAAGAAAGUACCAUCUCUAAUAUAGAUGGGAGAUGACGUUAUCACUAGAGAAAGCACCGGCUAAUCUCGUGCCAGCAGCCGCGGUAAUACGAGAGGUGCAAGCGUUAUUCGGAAUUACUGGGCGUAAAGGGUGCGUAGACGGUUUGUUAAGUCUUUUGUUAAAGACCUCGGCCUAACUGAGGAACAGCGAGAGAUACUGGCAAACUUGAGGAUGGAAGAGAGAAGUGGAAUUCUCGGAGUAGCGGUUAAAUGCGUAGAUCUCGAGAGGAACACCGAUGGCGAAAGCAGCUUCUUGGUCCAUAUCUGACGUU
rnacentral:rRNA from 1 species